CCUACGGGUUGCAGCAGUAGGGAAUCUUCCGCAAUGGACGCAAGUCUGACGGAGCAACGCCGCGUGAGUGAAGAAGGUUUUCGGAUCGUAAAACUCUGUUGUUAGAGAAGAACAAGUGCUAGAGUAACUGUUAGCGCCUUGACGGUAUCUAACCAGAAAGCCACGGCUAACUACGUGCCAGCAGCCGCGGUAAUACGUAGGUGGCAAGCGUUGUCCGGAUUUAUUGGGCGUAAAGCGAGCGCAGGCGGUUCCUUAAGUCUGAUGUGAAAGCCCCCGGCUCAACCGGGGAGGGUCAUUGGAAACUGGGGAACUUGAGUGCAGAAGAGGAGAGUGGAAUUCCAUGUGUAGCGGUGAAAUGCGUAGAUAUAUGGAGGAACACCAGUGGCGAAGGCGACUCUCUGGUCUGUAACUGACGCUGAGGCUCGAAAGCGUGGGUAGCAAACAGGAUUAGAUACCCUAGUAGUC
rnacentral:rRNA from 1 species